AUUGAACGCUGGCGGCAGGCCUAACACAUGCAAGUCGAACGGAGCGGCGGACGGGUGAGUACUGCCUAGGAAUCUGCCUGGUAGUGGGGGAUAACGUCCGGAAACGGGCGCUAAUACCGCAUACUAUCAGAUGAGCCUAGGUCGGAUUAGCUAGUUGGUGGGGUAAAGGCCUACCAAGUCGACGAUGCGUAGCUGGUCCGAGAGGAUGAUCAGUAACACUGGAACUGAGAAACGGUCCAGACUCCUACGGGAGGCAGCAGUGGGGAAUAUUGGACAAUGGGCGAAAGCCUGAUCCAGCAAUGCCGCGUGUGUGAAGAAGGUCUUCGGAUUGUAAAGCACUUUAAGUUGGGAGGCGUUACCAACAGAAUAAGCCACGGCUAACUACGUGCCAGCAGCCGCGGUAAUAC
rnacentral:rRNA from 1 species